rnacentral:rRNA from 1 species
UACGUAGGGUGCAAGCGUUGUCCGGAUUUAUUGGGCGUAAAGAGCUCGUAGGCGGUUUGUCGCGUCGGCCGUGAAAACUUGGGGCUUAACUCCAAGCUUGCGGUCGAUACGGGCAGACUUGAGUUCGGCAGGGGAGACUGGAAUUCCUGGUGUAGCGGCGAAAUGCGCAGAUAUCAGGAGGAACACCGGUGGCGAAGGCGGGUCUCUGGGCCGACACUGACGCUGAGGAGCGAAAGCGUGGGGAGCGAACAGG